GUGGGGAAUAUUGGACAAUGGGCGCAAGCCUGAUCCAGCAAUGCCGCGUGUGUGAAGAAGGUCUUCGGAUCGUAAAGCACUUUCGACGGGGACGAUGAUGACGGUACCCGUAGAAGAAGCCCCGGCUAACUUCGUGCCAGCAGCCGCGGUAAUACGAAGGGGGCUAGCGUUGCUCGGAAUUACUGGGCGUAAAGGGCGCGUAGGCGGCUCUGUGAGUCAGGCGUGAAAUUCCUGGGCUUAACCUGGGGACUGCGCUUGAUACUGCAGGGCUUGAGGCCGAGAGAGGGUGGUGGAAUUCCCAGUGUAGAGGUGAAAUUCGUAGAUAUUGGGAAGAACACCGGUGGCGAAGGCGACCACCUGGCUCGGUACUGACGCUGAGGCGCGACAGCGUGGGGAGCAAACAGGAUUAGAAACCCCAGUAGUCC
rnacentral:rRNA from 1 species